UACGGGAGGCAGCAGUGGGGAAUAUUGCACAAUGGGCGAAAGCCUGAUGCAGCUAUGCCGCGUGUAUGAAGAAGGCCUUAGGGUUGUAAAGUACUUUCAUCGGGGAGGAAAAAACAAAACUAAUAAUUUUAUUUCUUGACGUUACCCGAAAAAGAAGCACCGGCUAACUCCGUGCCAGCAGCCGCGGUAAUACGGAGGGUGCUAGCGUUAAUCAGAAUUACUGGGCGUAAAGAGCACGUAGGUGGUUUUUUUAAAGUCAGAUGUGAAAUCCCUGGGCUUAACCUGGAACUGCAUUUUGAAACUGAAAUACUAGAGUAUCGUAGAGGGAGGUAGAAUUCUAGGUGUAGCGGUUGAAAUGCGUAGAUAUCUGGAGGAAUACCUGUGGCGAAAGCGGCCUCCUAAACGAAUACUGACACUGAGGGUGCGAAAGCGUGGGGAGCAAACAGGGAUUAGAUACCCGU
rnacentral:rRNA from 1 species